rnacentral:rRNA from 1 species
GUGGGGAAUAUUGGACAAUGGGGGGAACCCUGAUCCAGCCAUGCCGCGUGUGUGAAGAAGGCCUUUUGGUUGUAAAGCACUUUAAGCGAGGAGGAGGCUACCGAGAUUAAUACUCUUGGAUAGUGGACGUUACUCGCAGAAUAAGCACCGGCUAACUCUGUGCCAGCAGCCGCGGUAAUACAGAGGGUGCAAGCGUUAAUCGGAUUUACUGGGCGUAAAGCGCGCGUAGGUGGCCAAUUAAGUCAAAUGUGAAAUCCCCGAGCUUAACUUGGGAAUUGCAGUCGAUACUGGUUGGCUAGAGUAUGGGAGAGGAUGGUAGAAUUCCAGGUGUAGCGGUGAAAUGCGUAGAGAUCUGGAGGAAUACCGAUGGCGAAGGCAGCCAUCUGGCCUAAUACUGACACUGAGGUGCGAAAGCAUGGGGAGCAAACAGGAUUAGAUACCCUGGUAGACC